rnacentral:misc_RNA from 1 species
UUUCCGUAGGUGAACCUGCGGAAGGAUCAUUAAAAAAUAUCGCUCGAUUGAGAGUGAUUUAAUAAUCAUCCCACCCUUUGUGAAUUUGUUGUUUGUAAUAAUUUUUUUUGAUUUUAAAAAAAAAAUUAUUUAUGGUUUUGUCUAUCCCUAAAAUUGGUUUGUUGUGAAAUGAAUCAAAUUUAGGGAAUAGGCUUUCAUAAAUAAGUUUUUUUAAAGUCUUAAAGACCUUUUUUAAAAUUAAACUUUUGUAUUCAUUUGUCUAAAUUUUUUUUAAAUAAUUUAAAAACAACUUUUGACAAUGGAUCUCUUGGUUCUCGCAACGAUGAAGAACGCAGCAAAAUGCGAUAAGUAAUGUGAAUUGCAGAAUACGUGAAUCAUCAAAUCUUCGAACGCAUAUUGCACUUUUUUAGUUUACUAAAAAAGUAUGUCUGUUUGAGUAUCAGUAAAAUAUUCUCAUAAAAACAUUCUUUGUUUUUAUGGUUAUGAGUGUUUUACAACGAUAAACAAGUUGUUUCACUUUAAAUUCAUUUUAAUUUAAGACCUUAUGGUUUUAAUAAUAAAAUUGGAUAAAAUUUUCCCGUAAAAAGGAAUAAACUUUUCAGUUUUUAGUUUACGAGAAAUCCGGUCCGAUUUAAAAGGAAAUUUAUUUAAAUAACUUGAUCUCAAAUCAGAUAAGAGUACCCGCUGAACUUAAGCAUAUCAAUAAGCGGAGGAAAAGAAACUAACAAGGAUUCCCUUAGUAACGGCGAGUGAAGCGGGAAGAGCUCAAAUUUGAAAUCUUCAAGGUUCUACCUUGACGAAUUGUAGUUUAAAGAAGUGUUUUCUGUUAGAUGAGUAGCAAAAGUUCCUUGGAAUGGGACAUCAUAGAGGGUGAGAAUCCCGUAUUUGGUUAUUCAUUCUAGCUUUGUGAUACACUUUCAAAGAGUCGGAUUGUUUGGGAAUGCAGUCCAAAAUGGGUGGUAAAUUUCAUCUAAAGCUAAAUAUUGGCGAGAGACCGAUAGCGAACAAGUACCGUGAGGGAAAGAUGAAAAGAACUUUGAAAAGAGAGUUAAACAGUACGUGAAAUUGUCAAAAGGGAAGCGUUUGACACCAGUGUUGUUUUUCCAAAAAUCAAUUACGAAUGGCUUGAUUUUGUGUUGUAUUGACCUUAUCAGCUUUCUGCACUUUUUUCGAGUCUUUCUUAAUGCACUUUUUGGUUAACAAGUCAACAUCAAUUUCUUUUGUUGUAAAAGAGUAUUCGGAAGGUGGCUUUCUUUUCGGAGAAAGUGUUUAUAGCCCUAUACUUCUACAAUCGGAGAGAUUGAGGUCUGCAGCGUAGAUCCUUCGGGUUAGAUACACUUGUGCUAAGUUGUAGCUUUUCAUAGACAACUUGUUGACUAUGUUUAGUCAUGCGGCUUACUCGCUUA